GGGGAGUGAAAUAGAACCUGAAACUUUAUGCUUUUAAAGAAUGGGAGCCUUCGGGUGACCAUGUACUUUUUGUAGAACGGACCAAUGAGUUAGUGUAUAUGGCAAGGUUAAGUCAGAUGAAGACGAAGCCGUAGUGAAAGCAAGCCUGAAUAGGGCGAUUAGUCAUGUAUACUAGACCCGAAACUGAGUGAGCUUCCCAUGAGCAGGCUGAAGUCCCGUUAACCCGGGAUGGAGGGCCGAACCAUUUGGAGCUGCAAGUCCAUUGGAUGACUUGUGGGAAGGAGUGAAAAGCUAAUCGAACUCAGAAAUAGCUGGUUCUCCGCGAAAUA
rnacentral:rRNA from 1 species